AGAACGAACGCUGGCGGCAUGCCUAAUACAUGCAAGUCGAACGAACACUUCGGUGUUAGUGGCGCACGGGUGCGUAACGCGUGGGAAUCUGCCCUUGGGUUCGGAAUAACAGUUGGAAACGACUGCUAAUACCGGAUGAUAUCGAAAGAUCAAAGAUUUAUCGCCCAGGGAUGAGCCCGCGUAGGAUUAGCUAGUUGGUGAGGUAAAGGCUCACCAAGGCGACGAUCCUUAGCUGGUCUGAGAGGAUGAUCAGCCACACUGGGACUGAGACACGGCCCAGACUCCUACGGGAGGCAGCAGUAGGGAAUAUUGGACGAUGGGCGCAAGCCUGAUCCAGCAAUGCCGCGUGAGUGAUGAAGGCCUUAGGGUUGUAAAGCUUCUUUACCCGAGAUGAUAAUGACAGUAUCGGAAGAAUAAGCCCCGGCUAACCUCCGUGCCCAGCCAGCCGC
rnacentral:rRNA from 1 species